rnacentral:rRNA from 1 species
UACGAAGGGGGCUAGCGUUGCUCGGAAUUACUGGGCGUAAAGCGCACGUAGGCGGUUUCUUAAGUCGGUGGUGAAAUCCUGGAGCUCAACUCCAGAACUGCCUUCGAUACUGGGAAACUUGAGUUCGGGAGAGGUGAGUGGAACUGCGAGUGUAGAGGUGAAAUUCGUAGAUAUUCGCAAGAACACCAGUGGCGAAGGCGGCUCACUGGCCCGAUACUGACGCUGAGGUGCGAAAGCCAGGGGAGCAAACGGG